UCAAGAAUCCGGAAACCACCGGCCUGAAUUGGCUUCAGCUGCCUUGGGAAGUGCUAAUAGGUCAGAGUCAAGAGUUAAAAACUAGUCCCCUAUCCCCAGUGGCUUAUCUACCCCCUGCCCCCCUGCCCCCCACCCCGCCCCCCGCCUCCCAUUACCACCGCCUUGGCUUCAACUCAUCAGAUCUGAGUAGAUAAUCAGGGUUAACCAACAUCGCCUGAGCACAUACAAUGUGCCUGGCACUAUGCAAAGGCUUUGGGGUUAGAUUCCGCUCGCACCAUCUUAUAGAGAAUGGAAUAUGAGUCUUGAGAAUUCCUCAAGGUAGGAGGAACCUGACCCUAUCAAGCAAGAGCAAUUCAGGAACCCAUUCCUCCCAAUUCCAAAUUGUGCGCAAUAGAUCAGAAACUUGUGAUCGGUUUGCUUCGUGGCUUUGAGCAAGUCACCGGGCCUUCCUAAUGUGACUCGAUUUCUCUAUCUAUAAAAGGGGUACAGUAAAACCUUGUAAGUUUCUUUCCUUUUUUUAAAAAAAUUUUUUUAAAGGACCAGAGACCUUUACUGUCAAGAUCGUGGCACGAAGCGAGGGCUCCAUAAAUGGCAGCCAUCAUUCCUGGCCAAGCGCGGGCGCAUCCUCCCGGGCGCGCCUCCCGCUGGGCCCCUCGGGACAGACCGGGCCCGCCUCCGCGGCUGUAGUCUCGCAGGGCUCGCGGCAGGUGGCCCUGCAUCUGGGUGCCCACGCCCCAGAGAGCGGGGAGCGCGGGCGGAUUGGAUGACCAAGGUCUCCCCUGGAGGAUCCCCCCGCCCCACUCCACACGCCCGGCGCAGGUGAGGUUUCCGGCCCAGGCCACGGGGACAGCGACCUUAACAGAGGUCGAGGCGGACUGCCCAGCUCGCGCCGGGAGAGGGGUCCUGGGGGCACCCCCUCCCUCGCCCACAUUCACCCCAGGGCCAGCCCCGGCGCCCGGGCCCGCGGGCUGCGCGCUCUGCGGCUGCGAAAACCCGGAGAGGCGGAUCGGAGCGCGCUCGCAGCCAACUCCUCCGCGGUCCGGCAGCCGAGCUGGGCAUGCUCAGUGUNNNNNNNNNNNNNNNNNCCGCCAACUCGGAAGCUCGCGCUCCUCGGCCGUGGGGGCGAGAACGCCGGCGGCGGCGAGCCGGCGUCGUCCGCCGCCCCCAGACAGUGGCAAACUUCGCGGCGUCCCCGGAGCUCGCCCGGGCGAGACUGAUACCUUACAAACCAGAUCAAAUCCAGUCACCCCCCCCUCUCCCGCCGCCCCUCAUCCCAACCCGAAUCAUGGAGGCUGCGGCCGCCGAAGUGCCGCCGCUGCCGGCAGCCCCUGCCCACUAGCCGGGGACCAACAGCGCCACAGCGAGUGA
rnacentral:lncRNA from 1 species